AGUGAACGCUGGCGGUAGGCCUAACACAUGCAAGUCGAACGGCAGCACAGUAAGAGCUUGCUCUUACGAGUGGCGAGUGGCGGACGGGUGAGGAAUACAUCGGAAUCUACUUUUUCGUGGGGGAUAACGUAGGGAAACUUACGCUAAUACCGCAUACGACCUACGGGUGAAAGCAGGGGAUCUUCGGACCUUGCGCGAUUGAAUGAGCCGAUGUCGGAUUAGCUAGUUGGCGGGGUAAAGGCCCACCAAGGCGACGAUCCGUAGCUGGUCUGAGAGGAUGAUCAGCCACACUGGAACUGAGACACGGUCCAGACUCCUACGGGAGGCAGCAGUGGGGAAUAUUGGACAAUGGGCGCAAGCCUGAUCCAGCCAUACUGCGUGGGUGAAGAAGGCCUUCGGGUUGUAAAGCCCUUUUGUUGGGAAAGAAAAGCAGCAGGUUAAUACCCCGCUGUUCUGACGGUACCCAAAGAAUAAGCACCGGCUAACUUCGUG
rnacentral:rRNA from 1 species